CCUUGACAUACUAAGAACUUUCCAGAGAUGGAUUGGUGCCUUCGGGAACUUAGAUACAGGUGCUGCAUGGCUGUCGUCAGCUCGUGUCGUGAGAUGUUGGGUUAAGUCCCGNAACGAGCGCAACCCUUUUUCCUUAUUUGCCAGCGGGUCAUGCCGGGAACUUUAAGGAUACUGCCAGUGACAAACUGGAGGAAGGCGGGGACGACGUCAAGUCAUCAUGGCCCUUACGGCCAGGGCUACACACGUGCUACAAUGGUCGGUACAAAGGGUUGCUACCUCGCGAGAGGAUGCUAAUCUCAAAAAGCCGAUCGUAGUCCGGAUCGCAGUCUGCAACUCGACUGCGUGAAGUCGGAAUCGCUAGUAAUCGCGGAUCAGAAUGCCGCGGUGAAUACGUUCCCGGGCCUUGUACACACCGCCCGUCACACCAUGGGAGUUUGUUGCACCAGAAGUAGGUAGUCUAACCGCAAGGAGGACGCUUACCACGGUGUGGCCGAUGACUGGGGUGAAGUCGUAACAAGGUAGGCGUAGAUGA
rnacentral:rRNA from 1 species